rnacentral:lncRNA from 1 species
CAGGAAGACUCCGCCCGGACCCCUAUGGGAGCUGGGCCUCAUCCCCGACUCCGGCUGCAGGAAGACUCCGUUCGGACUCUCACGGGAGUCGGACGUCGUCCCCAACUUCGGUUUAAGGAAGACUUCGUCCAGACUCUUAUGGGAGCUGGACUCCGGACUCCUCUCAAACGGAUAGCUAACCACCCCUCUCCGCCAGACACUCCAGUCGAACUUCAGCCGACAGGCCUGCACUCCCUGAC